AGGAGCCUGCAUAAAGAUUUUAGCACAUGGUUUAGAAUCCCUUAUUGUGCAGAUUCUCCUGUAUCUCAGUGCACAUUAUUCAUGCUCAAUUACGGUGGGAGAGAUAAGAAUUGGAAGACACAGUUGCAUCCGUGUUCCUGAAUGAAGAGUCAUUAUGCCAUGAUUAGAGAGACUGCAGUGUCAUCCAAGAGAAUUAAUUACAGCAAUAUGUUUUCCAAUCCAAUCUGCCAAUUAUUGCCUUUUCAAAACAGUCAGCUUUGAUUUUGUUUAUAGAUUCUGUACAAACUUUGCAACAAACCCAUAAGCACGUUCAACAUUUCACUACAUCUUCAAAGGUACAGGGAGUUGACUGUGUAUUUGUGGAGGCUGCAGUAACAUUGAGCCUGGGGGUGAAGGCCUCCAAUUUCUGCCAAUGCCUAAGAGCAUUAGGACAACUCUAUUUAUCUUGAAUCACAGACCAAAUUUCUGAAUAUAGAUAAUGAAUGAAAUUCAUUAAUGAAUGAGGUACGCCAGAUAACUCUGGUGCUCAGACUUCCCAGUUCUGACAUCUUAAUCUGUUUCUCUGCAGUGCAUAAUAUCUACUUUGUGGAAGUAGCAUCUUAAUUGUUUUUCACAAAGCAUUUUCAGCCAUUUAUGCUGGACUCUCCAGAGGAAGAAGAAAAGAAGCUGGAUGUGGCUCAUGUCUGUCAGUGUGGAUGUAUAGAAAUAGUAAUGUAAUUUCUUGUUAGACUGAAGUGCCUUUUAAGACUCAUAACAGCGUCUUGCAAUGUUUGUUGCUGAGAGUUGUCUUCAAACUGCAGCUGAAUUUCACACAUGCUGCUGGGGUGCCUUAAUCCUCAGCUCCCUCAGAA